rnacentral:tRNA from 1 species
AGAGAGCUAGUCUAGUCAAGACAGUUGAUUUCGGCUCAACAAACCAUAGUUUCACCCUGUGGCUCCCUC